AUUCGCAGGGUACGGUCAUCCAACGCAUAUAGCGUCGUGUUCAUCCCCUGCAAAAGAGGUUUACAUCCUAACGGACUUCAUCCCUCACGCGGCGUCGCUGCGUCAGCCUUUCGGCCAUUGCGCAAUAUUCCUC
rnacentral:rRNA from 1 species